rnacentral:lncRNA from 1 species
GUUUAGGAAGGGUUCAAGUUGCAUGGUUUAGCACAUAUAUAAUGGAUAUAUUGUCCUAAAAAUCAUCCAUGUUAGGACACUGUUGGAAUGUGGUGGUGUGGGUAAGUUCCUAGAGGGAGAAUUAUAAAUCCUUAAUAGUGACAGAGGUUAGUGGAGAAUAAAGAGAUAGAAUAGUAAGUGACAAAAAAAGCAAAGAAAUGGUAAGCGUGGGCUUAAAUUAUGUUUCCUGUUGCUUUCCCUCAUGGAAGAUGCGUUUAAUCCUACCUCAAAUUGUGACAAAGUGACUAAUCCUACCUCAAAUUAUAACAAAGAGGAACAUGUGUUUAACACUAAUUGCAACUGGAAGCUACAAAUAACAGAAUGGAUAUUUCCCUUCUUAUUAAACAACUUAUUCUAGCACACUUAAACAAAGAGACCAUCAUUUACCACCUAGGUUACACUACCAAUUUUUCAAUUACUUAGACAAGGCUCUUAAGGUUCAUUCUUACUUCUAUAUGCAUGUAAUG